rnacentral:tRNA from 1 species
GAGGGUAUAGCUCGGUGGUAGAGUACAUGCCUAGAACACACAAGGUUCUGGGUUCAAUCCCCAGUACCUCCA